rnacentral:rRNA from 1 species
AUUGAACGCUGGCGGCAGGCCUAACACAUGCAAGUCGAGCGGAUGCACGGAGCUUGCUCCCGGUUUCCGCGGCGGACGGGCGAGUAAUGCCUAGGUAUCUGCCUGGCAGUGGGGUCUGACGUCCGGACACGGGCGCUAAUACCGCAUACGUCCAGAGGGUGAACGUGGGGGAUCUUCGGACCUACAGCUCUCAGACGAUCCUAGGACGCAUUAUCUAGUUGGUGGGGUAAAGGCGUACCAAGGCGACGAUCCGUCACUGCGCUGCGAGGAUGAUCAGACACACUGGAACUGAGACACGGUCCAGACUCCUACGGGAGGCAGCAGUGGGGAAUAUUGGACAAUGGGCGAAAGCCUGAUCCAGCCAUGCCGCGUGGGUGAAGAAGGUCUUCGGAUUGUAAAGCACUUUUAGUGGGGAGGAAGGGCAGUAAGUUAAUACCUGGCUGUUUUGACGGUACCAACAGAAUAAGCACCGGCUAACUUCGUG